rnacentral:rRNA from 3 species
GGGACACGUGGUAUCCUGUCUGAAUAUGGGGGGACCAUCCUCCAAGGCUAAAUACUCCUGACUGACCGAUAGUGAACCAGUACCGUGAGGGAAAGGCGAAAAGAACCCCGGCGAGGGGAGUGAAAAAGAACCUGAAACCGUGUACGUACAAGCAGUGGGAGCACAGGUUUACCUGUGUGACUGCGUACCUUUUGUAUAAUGGGUCAGCGACUUAU